UUUACAGCUUGCUAUUCCAUCACAAAUUGACGGCCUUUCUUAUGUUGAAUUCGAUUCUGACCACAUCCCAAAAGUAACGAGACACUAUUGGGGAAGCGACAGGGCACCAUCCAUCUCAUUCAUCUGUAUUUUAGAAGCUUUCAGGUGAUGCUACGUCCAUAAUUGACCGAAUUCUCCAAGGUGAUGAUCAUGUCGUGGUUGAGUGGGUAUGCCGUAUAUGCCACUAUCCAAGGUAUGGC
rnacentral:lncRNA from 1 species